AAUAUAGGUUUGCGGGAAACCGCUACAGCCAAUCAAAGCGCGAUAGUUGUUUAGAGGCGGGACUUCUAGCAGAGACUGAUUUUUAACCCUUUGUGUACUAUAAUUAUUGCCUAAACAAUACGGACAGCGGGUGUAUUAUUGGUAGGGACUACACAGUAGAGGCUGGAUUUUGGUAGGGUCGGGACCCUACCGUCCUUAUAUAAUCCUACACCCUUACCCGUGACAGCGGGAAACCUUCAAGCUCAAGAAGAAGAGGAAAAGUACGAUGGCUACCCGUGACAGCGGGAAACCUUCAAGCUCAAGAAGAAGAGGAAAAGUACGAUGGCUACCCGUGACAGCAACCAGGCUUCGUUAUGUGAUACACUCAAGGUUGUAUUUCCACAAUUGGAGACGGUGUCUGGUGGUUGGCUGCUUUACAAAUCAGCAGGAGGAUGGGGUGGCCGCAAACUCUCUCUUGUGACACCUGAUGAUACUGGCUACACAGGCAAAAUAUUGAAGCUUGCAAGCCAGGGGGGUAAAACAACUCUUUUCAUUGCACCAAUUCAAGAAGAACUAAGCACAACUCCUUUGCAACUAACAGACAAUGCAUUCAGUGGCAUGCCAAAAGCAGGGUGUCAGAAAUGUGGAGCAGCUAUUCCACUGCCGCUCCUGACGAACACUUAAAAUCUUGCAACAUCAUUGAUGUUGACAGUGAUAAUUGCCCGGCUAAUGUAGAGGAAAACUGUGCGCAGGAAGACGUAACAUCAGUUCAGCAACCCUGUCCUAUGUGCAUGGACAUAUUUCCCUGUCACAUUAUUGAGGUACAUGCUGCUUCAUGCGGGGAAAGUGCAGGAAAUGAGGGGAUUGAGUGUAGUACUGUGAUGGAAGAAGAGCAAGCAGUAAUGCCUGGACCGUCCAGAAGCAGUGCAGCAGUUACAGACGACUGGCUCACCAUCCAAGACCCUACCAAGGCCAUGUCUCAGUUUCGGGAUUCCCUAUUCCACAUUUAUGAAAAGGAGUGCUUUGGUUCUCAGCAUGGAUACUAGAGAAACCCCUGCCGAACAGGACAUGGCACUCCUCUCCUUCUACAAGCGACCUAAUGUGGAAUGGGCACGACCCUUGCAUUGCAGACUUGAAAGUAGCUUCAGCCACAUGUCCUAAUGGUCAAGGACUGCAAAAAGUAUGACAUUACUAUAUCAAACCUUGCAUUGUGUUACAGGUGAUUUUGCUAUUGGAAAGGGUGUAUCUCGCUUCUUCCUCUCAACUUGCAUUGAGAAGUUGAAGUCUGGGUUUUGCAUCAACUUUGCAAACACUGAUGUGACACGGCUGUUUGAUGGAGAGACAGGCCAUUUGGUGCCGUCAGCCUCUCACUUCAUAGUUGAAAGUGAUAUGUUCGUCAUGGCAGGGAGAAUGAUGGGACACUCCUUCCUUCAUGGGGGACCGUGACUGUCUGGGCUCAGCCCUGCCUUUGCACAUGUCCUGCUUGGAGGGAGUCCCGAGACUGCAACUGUAGCCCUAGAUGACUGCCCAGACCUGGACAUCCGGGAAACAAUCAGGCUUCUUCAAGGUGAAUCCAAACUCUCUGAGGAAGAGGCAAAAAGAGGACAGGACUUGGCCUAUACCUGGGACCUCCCUGGCCUGUCUAAUAAUAACAGGAGAUGGCUUUUCAAGAGAAUGUUGCUCCAUGCUGUCAUUGGACGUGUCACAAGACAAAAGAAACAGCUGAGACGUGGUCUUAAAGAGACACAAAUGUGGACUGUGCUGACCAAACGACCUGACACAGUGGCCCUGCUUUUCCCUAGAGGUAGCAGUGGAUUACAGCCCUGAGGUACUUCUGAAGCGCAUUACCUGGCCUCAUCAUGAUGAAGAAGAAGAUGACAAUUAUUUUUCAGUUGACACCAUGUGCCACGUAUCAGGUUAUCUUCGACAGUUCAUUGAAAAUGGUAUGUUGACAGAGUAAACAUAUGCGAUAAACCGUGAAACAGUUGGGUCAUCUAGUUAUCAUUACCUCUCCACAGCAACUUUUCAUGUAACUUGUAAAAUAAUAAAAUGUUUACUGCACAGCAUCACCGAAUGAAUUGAGAGAUCUGGUGAAAUUCUGGACUGGAUGGGCGAUUCUGCCAAGGGCGAAUCUGUCCCUUGAGGUGGUCAAAGGCAGCUUCACUACUGCCUCCACCUGUUACGAGACCCUGCAAAUCCCAGGGCAUUACAAAGACUAUGCAUCUUUUAAGAGUGACAUCCUAGACUGUAUUGGCAGUUGCCAAACAGGAUUUGGUUUCAUCUAAUAUGUUGAUACAAACAGAUAUUCACACUCGUACAGUUAGAGACGUACACACAAAAUAAGUUUACACCACACAGUUUGUGUUAUGCAUGUCUGCAUGUUUCUUUGUUGCAUGAGCCAGUGAGUUAAGAUACCUGGGUCACAUUGCAAAGUGCUUGUUCAGUUAUCUCUAUUAAAUAAAAAAUAAAAUUUGACUCAGGAAAGAUGUGAAGAA